AUUGAACGCUGGCGGCAUGCCUUACACAUGCAAGUCGAACGGCAGCACGGGCUUCGGCCUGGUGGCGAGUGGCGAACGGGUGAGUAAUACAUCGGAACGUGCCCUGUCGUGGGGGAUAACUAGUCGAAAGAUUAGCUAAUACCGCAUACGACCUGAGGGUGAAAGCGGGGGACCGUAAGGCCUCGCGCGAUAGGAGCGGCCGAUGUCUGAUUAGCUAGUUGGUGGGGUAAGAGCCUACCAAGGCGACGAUCAGUAGCUGGUCUGAGAGGACGAUCAGCCACACUGGGACUGAGACACGGCCCAGACUCCUACGGGAGGCAGCAGUGGGGAAUUUUGGACAAUGGGGGCAACCCUGAUCCAGCAAUGCCGCGUGUGUGAAGAAGGCCUUCGGGUUGUAAAGCACUUUUGUCCGGAAAGAAAUGGCCCUGGCUAAUACCCGGGGUCGAUGACGGUACCGGAAGAAUAAGCACCGGCUAACUACGUGCCAGCAGCCGCAGUAAUAC
rnacentral:rRNA from 1 species